CCUACGGGUGGCAGCAGUGAGGAAUAUUGGUCAAUGGGCGCGAGCCUGAACCAGCCAAGUAGCGUGAAGGAUGACUGCCCUACGGGUUGUAAACUUCUUUUAUAAAGGAAUAAAGUGAGGCACGUGUGCCUUUUUGUAUGUACUUUAUGAAUAAGGAUCGGCUAACUCCGUGCCAGCAGCCGCGGUAAUACGGAGGAUCCGAGCGUUAUCCGGAUUUAUUGGGUUUAAAGGGAGCGUAGGCGGUUCCAUAAGUCAGCGGUAAAAUCGUGCGGCUCAACCGUACCGUGCCGUUGAAACUGUGGGACUUGAGUAUGCGCAGGGUACAUGGAAUUCGUGGUGUAGCGGUGAAAUGCUUAGAUAUCACGAAGAACUCCGAUCGCGAAGGCAUUGUACCGGAGCAAGACUGACGCUGAGGCUCGAAAGUGUGGGUAUCAAACAGGAUUAGAUACCCCUGUAGUC
rnacentral:rRNA from 1 species